rnacentral:rRNA from 1 species
GACGAACGCUGGCGGCGUGCUUAACACAUGCAAGUCGAACGGAAAGGCCCUGCUUUUGUGGGGUGCUCGAGUGGCGAACGGGUGAGUAACGCGUGAGUAACCUGCCCUUGACUUUGGGAUAACUUCAGGAAACUGGGGCUAAUACUGGAUAGGAGCUCCUGCUGCAUGGUGGGGGUUGGAAAGUUUCGGCGGUUGGGGAUGGACUCGCGGCUUAUCAGCUUGUUGGUGGGGUAGUGGCUUACCAAGGCUUUGACGGGUAGCCGGCCUGAGAGGGUGACCGGCCACAUUGGGACUGAGAUACGGCCCAGACUCCUACGGGAGGCAGCAGUGGGGAAUAUUGCACAAUGGGCGGAAGCCUGAUGCAGCAACGCCGCGUGCGGGAUGACGGCCUUCGGGUUGUAAACCGCUUUCGCCUGUGACGAAGCGUGAGUGACGGUAAUGGGUAAAGAAGCACCGGCUAACUACGUGCCAGCAGCCGCGGUGAUACGUAGGGUGCGAGCGUUGUCCGGAUUUAUUGGGCGUAAAGGGCUCGUAGGUGGUUGAUCGCGUCGGAAGUGUAAUCUUGGGGCUUAACCCUGAGCGUGCUUUCGAUACGGGUUGACUUGAGGAAGGUAGGGGAGAAUGGAAUUCCUGGUGGAGCGGUGGAAUGCGCAGAUAUCAGGAGGAACACCAGUGGCGAAGGCGGUUCUCUGGGCCUUUCCUGACGCUGAGGAGCGAAAGCGUGGGGAGCGAACAGGCUUAGAUACCCUGGUAGUCCACGCUGUAAACGGUGGGUACUAGGUGUGGGGUCCAUUCCACGGGUUCCGUGCCGUAGCUAACGCUUUAAGUACCCCGCCUGGGGAGUACGGCCGCAAGGCUAAAACUCAAAGGAAUUGACGGGGCCCCGCACAAGCGGCGGAGCAUGCGGAUUAAUUCGAUGCAACGCGUAGAACCUUACCUGGGUUUGACAUGGAUCGGGAGUGCUCAGAGAUGGGUGUGCCUCUUUUGGGGUCGGUUCACAGGUGGUGCAUGGCUGUCGUCAGCUCGUGUCGUGAGAUGUUGGGUUAAGUCCCGCAACGAGCGCAACCCUUGUUCAUUGUUGCCAGCACGUUAUGGUGGGGACUCAGUGGAGACCGCCGGGGUCAACUCGGAGGAAGGUGGGGAUGACGUCAAGUCAUCAUGCCCCUUAUGUCCAGGGCUUCACGCAUGCUACAAUGGCUGGUACAGAGAGUGGCGAGCCUGUGAGGGUGAGCGAAUCUCGGAAAGCCGGUCUCAGUUCGGAUUGGGGUCUGCAACUCGACCUCAUGAAGUCGGAGUCGCUAGUAAUCGCAGAUCAGCAACGCUGCGGUGGAUACGUUCCCGGGGCU